AACAGUCCCGAAAAGGGGACUUGUCGUCCCUGUUUUAUGACUGAGUAAACUGAGGCUGAGAGACAGAAAGUACCUCUCCCCAAGCCAUGGAACCAUGGUGUUUGGAUCUAUAGGAAAUAUGGAUGCAGUGCUCCUGAACCAUGCCUUCCAUCUAAGCACGCAAGAGGAAUUUUGAAGAUGAUCAGAGGAGAUUCAUAUUGGUGAAGGAAGUGAAAUCAUUUGAAUUCCACUUGGCAGUUCCAGAAAUGUGCAUUGUGGGGAUUAACUGGGUUUGUGCUACUCCAGCAAUUCACUUGUGUGAUGUCCAGAGACAUAGCCCAGUGUUGGUGGUGCACUGGUGAGCAGAGCUGCCUUCCCAAGACAUAGCAUCUUCUAUAACAGAGGAAGGACAGAGGGCGGGGAGAGGGGGAAACAUAUGGACUCUGGAGCCAGAUACUCCUGCAUUUCUACCGCUUCUACCUUCCUUCACUGCUUUACAUCUGUGUGACUUUACUGAAUUUGCCGGCGCCUUCAUCUUGGAUUUCCCAGCCUCCAUAACGGUGAAGAACCGAAAAGAAAAAUGGAUAUCUUUGAUUAAAAAGCAAGAAGAGGGGUCCCUUCAUCAUUACCCACCUACUGUGGAAAGUCUGCACGAAGCACCUGAGGUGGCUCCAUUAAUGCUUUCUUUCAGAAAAGGGAAAUCUACAAAUCCGGGCCAACUCCUCUCUGCUGCUGAUCCGGGCACCUGAAAUCUCUGGCACAGGCUGUUUGCAAAACGUAUACUUCGGCUGGCUGUAUGUCUCGCUGUUCCAAGUAGCCAGGAAAGUGGAAGAGGCACUUUGCUGCUGUGCUUUUUCUGCCUUCCACCUGGUUAAGAAUC